GAGUAACACUUGGGUAACCUGCCCGUACCUACUGGGUAUAACUCUCGGGGAAACCGGGGCUAAUACCGGAUAACAUUUUGAACCGCAUGGUUCGGAAUUGAAUGGCGGCUUCGGCUGUCACUUACGGAUGGACCCGCUUCGCCUUAAAUAGUUGGUGAGGUAACGGCUCACCCAGGCAACGAUGCGUAGCCGACCUGAGAGGGUGAUCGGGCCCACUGGGACUGAGACACGGCCCAGACUCCUACGGGAGGCAGCAGUAUGGAAUCUUCCGCAAUGGACGAAAGUCUGACGGAGCAACGCCCCGUGAGUGAUGAAGGCUUUCGGGUCGUAAAACUCUGUUGUUAGGGAAGAACAAGUGCUAGUUGAAUAAGCUGGGACCUUGACGGUACCUAACCAGAAAGCCACGGCUAACUACGUGCCAGCAGCCGCGGUAAUACGUAGGUGGCAAGCGUUAUCCGGAAUUAUUGGGCGUAAAGCGCGCGCAGGUGGUUUCUUAAGUCUGAUGUGAAAGCCCACGGCUCAACCGUGGAGGGUCAUUGGAAACUGGGAGACUUGAGUGCAGAACAGGAAAGUGGAAUUCCAUCGUGUAGCGGGUGAAA
rnacentral:rRNA from 1 species